UUUAAUAACUAAUUGAGGAAAAGGCACACAGAUAUCUGGAAGAAAAUACUACACAGGCUGUUUAAUAGAGCCAGCUAACUAAACUUGUAGUACUCAUGGCUGAGUACCAACCAGGCACGCAGGGCAUGUGCCCUGACCUCCAGAGGGCCCCCACUGAUGUUGUUAGUCAUUCUCACUCGAUACCAUUAUUAGAGUACUUAUUAUUAGAGUACCUUUCCUCUGGCACCACAGAGGAAAGGAGGUGAAAAACUCAGUCUUCAGCCAAAUGGGUGGGGCGUCAGUCUUCUCUUUCGUGUCUGAAAGUGACCUCGUCAAUCGCAUCAUGGGACGUGAGAAGACUCGCCUUUGAUCUGACAGAGAGGAUGGGAAUCAAGCACAGGUUCAUCAAAGGAAAGGGGUAUGCAUGGGUGGAUUGGUUCAGUUGCUUAAUGAAGCGCAACCCUCAACUGUCAGUUUGAGUAUUGCAAGCAACCAGUCUUGCGAGGGCCGUGGGCUUUAAUAAACUUAAGGUUGACCAGUUUUUUUAUGGCCUACAAGGACAUUUUAAACAGCAUCAGGGACAUCGGGAAAACAAAGAUUUGGAACAUGGACAAAAGUCCAGAAACUGUUGCCUGUGGUGGCCACCGAGGGAACAAAACGUGUUGCAUGGUUGACCAGCGCAGAGUGGCUUCACAGUCACAGUCAUUUGUGCUAUCAGUGUAGCGAGGCAGUACGUACUGCCCCUCUUCAUCUUCCCUCGGAAGAGGAUGAACGAACAGCUGCUGGUUGGAGCACCUGCACAGCCCGUUGGAAGGGUGAGUGACUCAGGCUGAGUCGACAGUACCAUCUUUGUCGACUGGCUCCACAAUUUCAGCCAUAGUGUUGGUUGCACCCCUGAGGAACCCCACAUCCUCAUCCUCGAUGAACACCACUCCCAUAAGACCCCGGAGGCUGUUCUGACAGCAAGAGGCUGUCACAAAAUGCAGCCGUUAGACCGUACCAUUUUCAAGGGUCUGAUCCUUUUACAACAGGGCAGCAGAUCAGUGGAUGACGAUGCAUCCUGGGAAAAGGAUAUGUAUAUACCAAAUGGCUAGACUCUUCACAAAGAUCUAUAACAAGGUGGCCAGUGUGGAGAGAGGAGUGGAGGCCUUCUGGGCCAGUGGGCUGUGGCCUUUGGAGAAGGACAUCUUCACAGAGGCAGACCUCAUGGUCACUGAGGUUAUAGAGGAGCCAGAGCCCAUUGCCAGAAUCCAUUCAACCACAGUGCUCUACCGCUGCCACCGAUGCAGCUACCAGCUCUACCACCGCCACCACUACAGCCACCAUCACUAGCUCUACCUACACCGCCACCAGCUCUAACGCCAAAACCUCUACCUCCACCACAUCUACUUCCGCCACAACCUCCACCGUGCAGCCUACCCUUGCUCCAAAUGUUGCAGUUCUAUUGGAGUUGUGGCCGAGGCUCCAGGAGGCGAGGCAGAGGAAGAGGAAGGCAGAGUCUGCAGCUGUAUUGACAGCCUCACCUUACAAAAGGUUGCUGGAGGAAAAUGCUCGACAGAAACAUCAACAAGAAGAAAAGAGAGAGAGAGUAAGAAAACAAAUCAGGUUCUUCAAAGAAGGUUGGUGCAACACAACAAGCCACAUCAGCCACCAAAGAAGGGGGUGCGGAGGGUCUUUUCCGUGAGGUGCUGGUUUCAGUCACAGGUGGGGACUGGAUUAGGUGUGAGAACUGCAGGAGGUGGGCUCAUGGGUUGUGCAAUAGCAGAGCAAAAGAGAUGUAACAUCAAUGUUACACUGAAUUGGUUAACUUAUGAUUUAUUGUUAUUAAAUGUUAUAUUCCAGUGUUAUUUCAUGUUAUUAGUUAUAUUCCAUUCCAAUAUUAUAUUCCAAUUAAUAUAUUUAUUUUUAAUGAAUUUAAAAAAAGCUAUUGAAAACCUUUUGCUCCUGAAUGUCAAUUUAAAGACUGCAGGGAUUUAAAAUCUUGCAUUAUUCCAAUACUAUUUAGUGAAAUUGUACAUAAUGGAUUGUAAGAAAAAGAAGCAACAAUGAAAGAACAAAGAAAAUGAAUGUGCAGGUGAGUUAAAAAGAGGGACUUUACAUCAAAUCUACUCAUAGUGCAGAUAUUAAUAGUGACAUGUGUAACACAAUUUACACCAAUAUUUUUUUUAAAUCAUUAAAAUAAGGCAGCUAGAUUUAGCUUUUAAGUAUUACUUACUAAAUCAUUUCUAAAUAAAACUGAUUAAAUUGAUUUUAACACAGUUGUGUGAAACUCUAUGCCAUAAUCUUCUACUCGGGGGGCAGUUACCCCGGUACUUAAAAAACACCCCUAUCUAAAAACAACAUUUCAUGAAAUAACUUAAAAAGUGUUUAUUUAACUUUAUAUUUUAUUUGCCUUAGCAUGACCUUCAUAGGUUUAAAUGCACAUACCAAAAUUUUAUUUUUUUGUGUCAGCAAUUCAACAUUGUUCUUAGGGGGUGCUAGUUACCCCCUAGUACCCUAACAUGGCAUGGAUCAUUCCACCAAUUCUGGGCCUUUUGAGAAGUGUAAAUUCGCCUCAUUUUAACAUUCGGUCAUAAAAAGAGCACAUGAUCAACUUGACUAUCAUAAGUGCCUAUUAAGUACCAAAUAAAGUAAGAGGGUUGCAUGUAACAGGGUUGAACAUUUCUUCUUAAAUCAACCAUACAUCUCCUUGUGACAGGGUGAAUCGAAGCAUGUUGUGUGCUAAAGGGAGUGGCAAGCUUCACCCAAAAAAAUGAAAUUAUUAAAACAUUUCUAGUCUGUCUAUCUGCAUAUACGCAGACUCAGCAUCAUUCAAAUAACGGAGUUUGAUACACCUGGUAUUGGAUAUGACUGAAAAUAAAUGUGCUAAAUGAGGGACAAAUGUAAAUGAAUCACUAAUAAUCUCAUUAAAUACAGUGCAUUAGGAAAGUAUUCAGACCCCUUCACUUUUUUCCACAUUUUGUUACGCUACAGCCUCAUUCUAAAAUGGAUGAAAAUAUUUUUCCCUCAUCAAUCCCUCAACACACAAUACCCCAAAAGGACAUAGUGAAAACAUUUUUUUUUUGUAGUAACAUAGUAUAUGGGAUUGAUUUUAAGAAAUUUGGUUUAAUUCAUUUGAUUAAUAUUAUGGUGUUUCUAUUCAGAGAAAAACAAAACCCUCAAGGUUUCUGUUAGGAUGGCAUGGAAAAUAUGGCACUGUACAACGCGACGUUCGGGGAAUAGGCUACAGGAUUGGAGGUUUCUAAAAUGUUUGCCUUCAUUACACAACCUUGUUCCAAUAUUUCUGUAAAUCAGUGAUAUUUAUUCCCAUAGUAAUUCGUUAUGGAUCCAUAACUAAAUCAACAUCUGCAUUUUGAAAGAGUAUUUUUUCAUCAUUAUUUUAUUAAUGAAAUGUGUAUUUGUUUAUUAGGCUACUGUGCAGUCUACAAUACAUACUGUAGUAAACAUGGGAAGGUGCCUAAUUCCUUACAUAAGGGAGAGCAGGCCAUGUCUGUACUACAGACAUGUGGUCCUUCUGUAGCUCAGUUGGUAGAGCAUGGCGCUUGUAACGCCAGGGUAGUGGGUUCGUUUCCCGGGACCACCCAUACGUAGAAUGUAUGCACACAUGACUGUAAGUCGCUUUGGAUAAAAGCGUCUGCUAAAUGGCAUAUAUUAUAUUAUUAUUAUUACAGAAUGCAGGGCA